rnacentral:tRNA from 1 species
GAGGUUAUAGCUCAGUGGUAGAGUAUAUGCUUAGCAUGCACAAGGUCCUGGGUUCAAUCUCCAGUACUUCCA